UACGUAGGGUGCGAGCGUUGUCCGGAAUUAUUGGGCGUAAAGAGCGUGUAGGCGGCUAGGUAGGUCCGUUGUGAAAACUCGAGGCUCAACCUCGAGACGUCGAUGGAAACCAUCUAGCUAGAGUCCGGAAGAGGAGAGUGGAAUUCCUGGUGUAGCGGUGAAAUGCGCAGAUAUCAGGAAGAACACCCGUGGCGAAGGCGGCUCUCUGGUACGUGACUGACGCUGAGACGCGAAAGCGUGGGGAGCGAACAGG
rnacentral:rRNA from 1 species